rnacentral:rRNA from 1 species
CGCGGCCUAUCAGCUUGUUGGUGGGGUAAUGGCCUACCAAGGCGUCGACGGGUAGCCGGCCUGAGAGGGUGUACGGCCACAUUGGGACUGAGAUACGGCCCAGACUCCUACGGGAGGCAGCAGUGGGGAAUAUUGCACAAUGGGCGGAAGCCUGAUGCAGCGACGCC